ensembl:lncRNA
CCAGAAAAUACGUCAUACACCUCUAGCUAUUGCUGUAAUGAACCCGAUUGUUCUACUGCUCCAGCGCUGAAAUAGGAAAGAGCAAAACUUCCAUGACGUUCCGUGAAGCCAGAAACUUGAAGCAAGAACGAGCUCGUCAUUCACUCAAGAGGUCCAUGUCUCAUUUCUGGGCAAAUGACUGAAGUGCAACCCUAACAGGACACUUUACAUCAAAGGUUGUAAAGAUGACACCACGGCACUCUGUGCUUCUGUGUUUGAGCAAAAAACCAUCUGUCUGGAGUCUCCGGGGGAUCACAACUCAACCACUUCAAGGAAGGGGUCUUCUAGUGACUUAACCUCGUGAUUCUACAGAGGGUCUAUAGAUAGAAGUGUAUGCUCUCUAGCUCAUGGCUGCAUCUGACCAGCUGUAGAAAAUCCAAUUGUACCGGAAGGCAAAGGGACCACAAGGGCGUAGGAAGAAGCUGUGAUACCAGCUGUGCAUUGAGUCAGUAAGCUUCCCCAGCAGCCUCCACUUGACUUGAAAUCUGCCAUGCCUUGAUGGACAUCUGAGAAGAGAGUGAGGUCCCAGAGAGGCUGCCUACGAAUUCAGGCAGCAGUAUAUCAAGAUGAGAAAUGUAUAAACAGCAGAGAUGCUGGAGGUCUGCGUCCCCAGUCAAACAGGUACAAACAAGACUAUGGAGUUAGAUAUAUGUAACAGCUCAUUUGCAGAGAAAUAUCCCCUACAAGACAGGAAGAUGCUGCUUCUAAUCACACAGCCGAAGUGCGACGUUGUGAGACUGAAAUGGACAACCGAACCAUAUGAUCAGCCUUCUUUUAUGAGAACACUAUGUCAGUCAGUCAGUUUAUGACCUGAAAUUACAUGGGAAGAGCCUGAUCCUGGCCCCGCUGAAUGCAAAGAGGAGAUGCAGCUUUGGAGCUCCUGCCAUCAUCACAUCCUCGACCUUUUGUGUGUCAUUAGCUUGAGACUGAAGUUGUCCUGUCCCUCCCGACCUCUCAGCGGGAGCUGAGCAGAGCAGCACCGCGGGCACCCAGCACCCAGGUCCUUCCUGUGUCAGAGGCCUCGGUGGGCUCAGCACGUUUGCAGUGGCAACCAAGGGUCCCUCAGCACCAACUAUGGAGGACAUUGCCAUCCCGGUGCCCUCUCUAAGGCCGCUGUAGCCCCAGCUAUGCAGACUCUGAUGCCUUCUCUCAGCACAGCCCCUGGGCUGCCAGAGCUGUGGUGGCUGUCACUGACCGAUGCCAUGGAUGUGCUGCCAUAUCUAACAGCAGCUGUCUUCUCAUCCCAGCUGGGAUAGAGAAGUGCCCUACAGAAGACAAGGUUGAGGUCAGAUAUUCACUGAAAGAAAUGUGGAAUUCCUCUGAGUAGAACAAACAGAAGAGCAGGAAAUCAAAGUUCUGGAAUUAGAAAGAGGAUUUGGUCCCACAUUUAAACAACUGAGCCUUGUUUGUUUGAGAUGAGCAAUGGCUUCCUCUCCAGAACUGGUUAUUGAGCAGAAGGUAAUCAUUCCAAAGGCUGCGGUGAGGAUCAGCCCAAACCGGUGAGCCGUUCCGGUAGCAAUGGGACCGUGAAGGCGGCGAGCGCUCGGAGCCAUCCGCCCGCAGCGGGAGGCCGCCGGGCUCUCGCCGCGCUCCGUUCGGGGCCGUUGGGAGGCUCCUGCUGGGCUCCCCCGGCUUCUCGGAGCCGUCGUAGCGCCGCCGUGGCGUUUUCGGAGGGGGCUGCAGCUCGGUUCCACGGUCCUAGCGCAGCCCGGGGCCUUAUAGCGGGGUCUUCAGUUCCUCCCACUCAUCGUUGGGAGCAAGCGGGACAGGGCCGUAUCCCGCCAGGCUCAGUGCUGCUGAAACCAGUUUCCUCCUAUUGCAGGCCGAGCGAAGGCUGCAGCGGACCCUUUCAUCCAUCUGAACUGGUGAGAUGGUGGAAGCAGUGAGUGUUUUGGGGGUCACUAGGUUAAGCCUCUUCUUGAGGCUCGUGUAGGGCUGCUGCCCAGCUCCAACAUGGCUUUUUAGAGGUGGUCGGUGCUGCCGAACUGCUGAGACCGAGUGCCACCCUGGGGGUGGCCUUGGCCCCCCGGAAGGGUUUUGCGGGUGUUUUGGGCUCUCCUGCUUCCAGCAGUGGAAGUGAACAGGCUAUGUAUUUCACCACCCUCCCUCAUUUGUAAUUUUAAGAGUGUGAUCUCCAUCCCAUCAUGGAGAUGGGGUGGGACAGCUUGCAUGACUAGAAUGCUGUUGUGGAUGGCCUGUUCUUUUCUGGGGAGAUGGACAGGUGAGGCAGCGGAGUUGCUCUUCCAUUGAGGGAACAGGAAUGUAUUGAGCUAUGCCUAGGGAUGAAUGAGAAACUCAGGGAGCGCUGGCAUGUGAGGCUCAAGAGGCAGUGAAUGUGGGUAACAUCACUGGAUGUGUUGGUUAAAGAUGAGGAAGUUAAGAUCUCCAGCACACAGCUGACAGUAGCCUCAGGGCUGCGGGCAUUAGUUUUCACAGUAGACUUGAACCACCCUGCCAGUUGUUGGUAAAGUGAUAUUGCCAGGUAUACCUCAUUCCAAGAGGCUUCUGCAGGAGACAGAAUUUCUGACACAGGUGAUGGAGAAGCCAGUGAGGAGAGAAGUGCUGCUGGAGCUUGUACUCUGUAUUGAGGAAGGGCUGGCUGGGGAUGUGAAGACUAGGGUGACCUGAAGUGCAGCAGCUGUGAGAUGGUUAAUUUUGGGAUGUCACAUGGAAGAUGCGAAGCAGUAAGUAGGAUUGAAACACCGUAGACAUUGAGGGAGCCAACUUUGUCCUCCUAAAGGAUCUGCUUGGAGAUAUCCCUUGGGCUGGAGCAUUGGAAGGGCUCCUGCUACUGGUUCUUGACUUUGAUGCGUAACUUCCUUUGUGCUCAGUAGGCUGCAUGCCUAAGAGUAAGAAAUGGAGCAGCAAUGGCAGGAGGCCUGCAGGAGCAAAUGAGGAGGUCAUAGGUAGAAUCACAGAAUCGGUAAGGUUGGAAAAGACCCACAGGAUCAUCCAGUCCAACCAUUCACCCUUCACCCAUGGUUCUCACUAAACCAUGUCCCUCAACACAACAUCCAAAUGCUCUCUGAACACCACCAGGCUCGGUGACUCCACCACCUCUCUGGGCAGCCCAUUCCAGUGCCUGACCACCCUUUCAGAGAAGUAGUAUUUCCUAAUGUCCAGCCUGAACCUUCCCUGGCACAGCUUGAAGCCAUUCCCUCUAGUCCUAUCACUAGUCACAUGAGAGAAGAGGCUGACCCCCAGCUCACUGCAACCUCCCUUCAGGUAGUUAUAGAGAGCAAUAAGGUCUCCCCUGAGCCUCCUCUUCUCUAGACUGAACAAUCCCAGCUCCUUCAGCUGCUCCUCAUAAGGCCUGUGCUCCAGACCCCUCACCAGCUUUGUUGCCCUCUGGACAGGCUCCAGGGCCUUGAUGUCUUUCUUACAGUGAGGGGCCCAAAACUGGACACAGUACUUGAGGUGCGGCCUCACCAGUGCUGAGUACAGGGGGACAAUUACUUCCCUGCUCCUGCUGGCCACACUAUUUCUGAUACAAGCCAGGAUGCCAUUGGCCUUCUUGGCCACCUGGGCACACUGCUGGCUCAUGUUCAGUCUAGUGUCAAUCAACACCCCCAGGUCCAUUUCCUCUACACAGUCUUCCAGCCACUCUGCCCCAAGCCUGUUGCGUUGCCUGGGGUUAUUGUGGCCAAAGUACAGGACCUGGCAUUUGGUCUUGUUGAAUCCCAUCCCACUGGCUUCGGGCCAGCUAUCCAGAUCCCUCUGUAGGGCCUUGCUAACCUCAGGCAGAUCAACACUUGCAUCCAGCUUGGUGUCAUCUGCAAACUUACUGAGGGUGCACUCAAUGCCCUCAUCCAGGUCAUCAGUAAAGAUAUUAAACAGGACAGGCCCCAGUGCUGACCCCUGGGGAACACCACUCGUGACCGGUCGCCAGCUGGAUUUAACUCCAUUCACCACCACUCUCUGGGCCCGGCCCUCCAGCCAGUUCCUUACCCAGCCAAGAGUGUAUCUGUCCAAGCCACGGACUGCUAGCUUCUGCAGGAGAAUACUGUGGGAGACAGUGUCAAAGGCUUUGCAGAGGUCUAGGUAGACUACAUCAACAGCCUUUCCCUCAUCCACCAGACGGGUCACUAGAUCAUAGAAGGAGAUCAGGUUGGUCAAGCAGGACCUGCCCUUUGUGAACCCAUGCUGGCUAGGCCUGAUCCCCCGGUUGUCCCACAUGUACCACGUGGUCUCCCUCAAGACAAUCUGCUCCAUAAUCUUCCCUGGCACUGAGGUCAGGCUAACAGGCCUGGAGUUCCCCAUAUCCUCCCUGCAGCCCUUCUUGUAGAUGGGAGUCACAUUGGCAAGCCUCCAGUCUUCUGGGACCUCACCCAUCAACAAGGAGCACUGAUAGAUGAUGGAAAGUGGCUCGGCUAUCACCUCUGCCAGUUCCCUCAGUCGGUGAAUCUCAUCCGGUCCCAUGGACUUGUGGCAGUCAAGUUGGAGUAGCAGGUCUCUGACUGUUUCCUCCUGAAUUGUGGGAGGUUUAGUCUGCUCCCCAUCCAAGGCUGCCAGGUCAGAGAGUGGAGAAACCUGGGGAUAACUGGUCUGACUUUUAAAGACAGAUGUAAAGAAGGCAUUCAGAACAUCUGCCUUUUCCUUAUCCUCAGUGGUCACAUUCCCAGCCUCAUCCAGUAGAGAAUGGAGAUUCUCCCUGGUCCUCCUCUUACUGUUGAUAAACUUGUAAAAGAGUUUCUUGUUCCCUUUUACCCCAGCAGCCAGCUUGAGUUCAAGCUGGGCUUUUGCCUUUCUGAUUUUCUCCCUACGCAUCUGUAAGAGACUAUUCUUUUAUAUCAUUGACUCAAAGUUUGCUGAGGAACAAGUCCAGGCAAGUCCUGGGCAAAGGCAGAGAAAUCUUUUGUCUUGAGGACACUGAUGGACAGGUCCUGGCUAAGGAUUGUGAAAUCCUCUAAGGAGCACAGAUGGACAAGGCCAGGGGCAACGAGAGAGAGAUAAGCUGCUGCUAAUAGCCGGGAAACGGUCUUUUUGUGUGGAUUUAUCUCGAGGAAGAUGGCCAUCUAAGGAGGUAUGCACAGGACUCUUGCUCAAGCACCCAGGAAUGUCACAGGCAGGAGAAAAUGGAGGAUAAAAGAGGGUCCAACAACCACGGCGAUGGUAGAGGCUUAUCUCUCACCACCACAGACUUGAGGGGUUCUCUGCCAUCUGAUCCUUCACUGCAACGUGGAGGCUGAUCUCUCACCGCAACACAGAGGCUGAUCUCUCAUGACGACACGAGCUUUCUGCCUUCAGAUCCUUCUCUACGGACCGUUUGCUGACGGACUUCCCUGGGCCUGCUACCUGAGACCUGCUGCUUCCUCCCUGACUUACUUGGCAGCUUCUUCCUGGACCCACCCGCUACCUGCACCCUCUCGUUGCCCAAGACCGGCCCCGCUGCUCCUGCCCUUCGGCCUCGGACCGUCGGAACGUCGUGCAACGGGACUGCUGCCGGAUCCUGGUGGUGACUAUCCCCGCUUUACGCAAUUCUUGCCUCUUUCUAUCUUUUCUAUCGCUCGCCUUUCCUUCCCCAUCACCCCAAUCCUUAAUAGUGUCCGUCCUCCCCUUUCUUCAUCUCCCUUAUUAACAUUUGUAAUAAACUGGUCGGACCAACAUUUGAACCGUUGUUUCUUAAUCUCACGCCGGGCAUACAUAUUUCAAAGAACCUCCUCUCCCUCCUAUAAAUUGGAGCGAGACAACAUCUUAACAACAACUUUGUAUUCUUUCCGGGUUGCCCGUCCCUUCUUCCACAGGAGGUAGAUUCUCUUUUUCUCCUGGAGCCUCAAGAAUAGUUCCCUAUUCAUCCACGCCGGUCUUCCACACCGGCUCAUUUUGCAGCUCAGGGGUACAGCCUGCUCCUGCACCUUUAAGACUUCCUUCUUGAAGAGCAACCAACCAGCUUGUAUCCCUUUACUCUCUAAGACUGAACCCCAGGGGACUCUCCCUACUAAGUCUCCUGAACAAUUCAAAGUCUGCCCUCCGGAAGUCCAAGGUAGCAGUUUUGCUGUUCCCCCUCCUGACCCUGGCAAGAAGCGAGAACUCUACCGUGUCAUGGUCACCAUGAUCACCAAGUCUCAUGGUAAACUUGAAGAAGGAAAGUAAGGCUAAGGCCCCCUUAGUAUCACCUUUGUGGAGGAAGGCAGAGGCUAACAGAAGUUUGCAAGUUUGCCAACAGCAAAAUAGAGACUAGGGAGUUUGUGGGCCUGCUGUUAUUGGGGGCUGCCCCCACCUUGUAAAGUAGGGGAUGUGAGAAGGCAGAGGUGCCAGAUGCCUUCUCAGCUUCAGCGGUCACCGCUGAGAGUGCUCCUUGGGAAUAUUCGAUGGAAGGGUCUUUGAGGAAGGAUGACUUCCUCUCAAGUGCAGAGGAGUAGGUCAAAGCAUUUAGGCAAAAUCGAUACCUGCAAAUCCCUGGAUCCUAAUGAGAUAUGCGUAAGUGUGCCAAGGGAGCUGGCAGAAGUGACUGCCAGAGAGCUCUCCCUCGUGUUCUUUAUGCUCUUUCCUAUAGGCAAGGCUCCUGAGGACUCAAGGAUAGCCAGUGUCACCGCAGCCUUCAGAAAGGGUGAGAAGGAGGGCCUGCACAACUGUAGGCUGGUCAGUGUCACCUCCCUCCCUGGCAUUGGGAUGGGACAGCUUGUUCUAGAUGUCAUCUCCGAGCAACUGGAAGAGUUGUUGUUUCUAAGGAGUAGUCAGGGCGGAUUCAGCAAGAGGAAAUGAUGGACCUGGUAGCCUUCUGCAUUGUUAGCCUUCUGCAGUUGCAUUGUGACUGUCUGGUUAGAUGAGAGCAGGCCAGUGGAUGUUGUGGGGUAGAAUAUCAGUACUGUCAGUAAAUGUCUAAGUGCAGGAGUCUGGUUGAUGGGGAUGGGCUUAUUCAGACACAGAUGGGAGGUGUGUGGUGGUAGAACGGGAGUAAUGUUCACAGACUGGAACACUGGCAGCUGUAUGAACAGAAGGAAGAAUGAUUUCACUGUGAGGGUGAUGGAAUAGGCUGUGGGGUGCCCUUCUCUGGGGAUCUUCAAGUUGAGUCUGGAUGUUUUUGUUGGUGAUGUGCUGUAGGGAGGCUGCUUUCCUGAGGGACUGGGAUGAUCUGCUCACAAGGCAAGCACCACAGGAGAGCACUGAAGAUCAGCCCAAUAAAGGAGGUGAGCCCUCUGACCUGCCCACUCGGUGGCCCCUCAGAAGAGCUUUGCUGAGUUCUUCCUGCAGGUUCAGAGUGGGCAUCCCAUGGGUGUGACUCCAGCGGCUCUGUGGAGCGAGGUGAGCUGUGUCCUUUUGUCCCUGAUCUGUGUGUGCUGUCUCUGGGCUUGAGGUUUCUGGCUGGGACUGGGUGUAGGUGUGGUUUGGUAUCAGCUCUGAAGGUGUGCAGCAGGUCCACUGGUGGAGCUGAAGGAGAGAGAAGUGAGCAGCAGUGCUGGGGUUGUUUCAGUACUCCAGACCUGUAGUCUUGCCUCAGGUCCUGGUGCAGCUGGCACACCAAAAGGUCCCCACCCUGGGAGCUGCAGAAGCAUGAGGUAGGUGUGUUGGUAGAGAUGUUUGUGUCUGGCAGGUGGGAUAAUUGGGCUUUGGGGCUUGUGGUGUCAAGUUGUGGCUUUUGUGGAGUUGGGUUUUUUGUGUGAUUGUUCUGUGUGGUUUAGAAGAGAUGUCUAAGGGGAGGAAGAGCACAGCUCACUCUGAGUUGGCUGUGCUCUUUCCCUUUGGCCUGGGGCUAUUGGGUGGGGAUUGCAGCGUCUCAAGAGAUUUUAGUUCUUUUGGGUGGGAGAGUGGGUGCAGGUCUGUAACAGAAAAUUUUGUGGCUGGGGGGCUGAGGGCAGGAGCCCCUCCUGUUUAAGGGGAGCUCCCCCUGAGUGGGGGUAGAAGGGGGAGCCCCUCCUGUCAUUGGGGUCCUCCUGAGUGAGGGUAUGAGGGUGGGGAGCCCCUCCCUGGUUAAGGGGUCUCCAUGGGCCUGAGAGUGGCUCUUGUGUGGUGGUGGCGGCUGCUUUGUGGUGGUGCUCCUGGUCCUGAAGGUGGGAGAGAGAGUGAGGAGGAGCUGGGUUCUGUGUCCUGCUGAAGGAGAAAAUUCACUUCAUUUCAAACCUCAGGUAAAGCCUUUGUGAAACAACUCUUGCUCUGUAACUUCAGAGGUUGCUUGCUCUGUGUAGUACUUCAAUGUGGCAAAAUGUGUCCAUGUUGUGUAUCUCACUAUGUGUCCUGUGUAUGCUAUGGAUGGUUUACAGUAUCAACAAGCUGAAAAGACUGACAUGGUUAAGAAGGAGGAAAGUUGGUGUUCUGCUCCAUGUGACUUUUUUUGCUAUGUCCCCCUUGGGGAAAAAUUAGUCUCAUGGGAAAAUAAAAAGUGGAAGUACUUGUGAAAGCUCCUUUUGUGAGUGGUCUCUGAUAAGGCCAACUCAGUUUCCUACAUUUAUAUAUAAAUAAUUAUCUCUUUUUGAGGUAACAUUUUACUCAGUAUUUAAGAAUACAUCUCCUGUGAAAUGUGUUGAAUUGCCAGACAGACAAAAAUGUCUAAAUUUAAACACUGAAAAGCUAGGUCACUCUUAAGGGGGAGGUCUUUCACUUUAUCUUCUUGCUCAAGCAAAGCUGUAGAGGAGAAUUUGUAGAUUGAAAUGAGAAGAACAGAAUUCUAUGUAUGCCCCCAAAAUACUAGUGACUAACUUUGCUUCCAUGGGGUGGGAAGUGGGUGAUGAUGCACCCCUUUUGUAGAAGAGGGAGUGGCUUGUGAUGGCUUUCUGGGAAGACUGCAUCUGCUGCAGGUGCGAUUGCUGUGUUGUGUGGGAACUGGGAUGCCUAAGAAUAUCUGCACUGUAGUGGAAUGAUGAGGCUUAGCUAACUCAAAGUUUUGUGGUGAAGUGGAUACCUGUCUGUCUCUGACUUAAAACAACAGUAAAUCCUUGCUUACCGCACAAAAAGAUGUGCUGUUUCUGUGCUUGGGCCUUGUUUCCUUGCUGCUGAUGUUAUUCAUCUUGGGGAACACAGAAAGGGAGAAAUGAUCCCUUAAGCAGUUGACUAUUUAGCAUUUCAUGUUCUGUAAAAGAAAAGCGAGAGUUAAACAAAUAUUUUACAGGUUAUCUACUAGAAAACUACAACGUGUCAGACUUUCUUUACUCACUGGAUGAAAUGGCAGAGUUUGCCAGUGUUUUGUAUUGUUGCAGCUGUAUUUCCAGACAGAAGCAUUCCUUGAGCUCAGUAGACCUUCCUGGGCUCACAGGAGGGUGUGCUGUCCCAAGAGCAGAAGUGGCACUGACUUUUUUCAAAACAAGAUUCUGCUUUCUAUUUUUAAGAAGAGUUCACUGAGAAUUCUCUGGUGUCUCACUAGGUAACCUGAGCUACUGAGCUUUUUGCUUCACUGCAGAACCCCUUCUAUUGGAUCUUGGGCCCAGAACUGCACAUGAUAUUCAGGCUGUACCUCCCUGGAGCAGAGUGGAAUGAUCCCAUCCUUUGCUCAGCUGCUCAUGCUGGGCCUGGGUGUGGUCAGCCUUCUAGGUGACUGUGUGCACUGCUGACUUGAAUUCAACUUGCUGCCAAGUGUGGCACCUGGAUUCCUUUCCCUGGGGUAGCUCUCUGGCUUCAUUUCCCCAUCUCUAUGAGUAGCUUGGGUGGGCCAGUCUCAGGGCAGAAUCAGGUGCUGGCUGCUGCCAAACUUCAAUUGCCCACCAUGUGUGUGGACUGCUAAGUGGUAGAGACUCCUGAGGAGUCCACAGCUCCUCCUCAUUUAGUGUCCUCAGCAAAAAUACGUAGUAUGUGUUUGACUCCUGUGUCUUGAUCGUUUAUAGAAAUACCAAAGAGAACUGCCCCUUACAAGAAGCCCCUGGAAUCUGACUGCACUUGUCUACCAGCCUCUCAUGAUCUUGUUUAAUUCCAACAAAUACUUGGAGCUGCUUUUGUAUGGGACUGAGUUACUGCUUAGCUGUUUGUUUGUAUUAAAAGAGUUAGGGCUCUUCUCUGACACAGGAUUUAGUUUCUGGAUACCCUUACCUGACAAAUUUUCCUUACCUACUCAGAGAGACAAAACAUGCUUGGAACUACACCACAGGCAAAGAUGUCUCACUUUUGGACAGUUGAAGUUAAUAAAUGUAUCCCUCUAAUAGAAGAAUGGAAUAAGAUCCGUCUUAAGUCAUUAGUAAUUCGAUAGCUACUGCGUAAAGUUGGAUAUUUUCAACUGCUACAGUCCAAGUCAUUUCACUAUUCACAUUUUCCACGUAGUAAUAUUAUUGGGCUGUAUCCUACCAAUAAUGUCCAGAAUGACUGAGCAAGAAGUACAGUUUGCCACAAUAAAGCCUAAAGCUGACAAAAAAAAACCCCUUGCAUUGGUUUGUAAUGCAUUUUCUAGGCACCCUCACUCAAAAGAGAGCUUCCAGUGGACACACCAGUCUUUGUAGUGUCUUUCAAGACAAACAGAGGUUUAAACUCUCCUGACACUCACUUUAACAGGAGGGCCAGACUGUACAAGUGUAUGCCUUCAUCAGUGAAGGGAAAAAAGGAUUUCUUUUCUCAUUUUAAUUUUAUGAUAGAACAAACAAAAAAAAAGCAGUAAUUCCUAAUUCAUGUGAGCUUAGCAAUAACCAACAGCAUUUGACUGCGAGUGGUUUCCAAAAUCUGACCUUUGUUUUGUCAUUGUUUAUAUAGAGCACCAAUCCCUCAUUGCACAGCAUGAGGAAGACAUAAAACUUUUUCCACUUUCUACGCUCACUUGUGGUAAUUACAUCCAUAGUACUCUCCCUUGUGUAUCAGGUCUGGUUACCAAGCUGAGAAAAUAAAUCCCUCCCCCCCAAACCUAUACCACAAAUGUCAAACUAAGGGGAUUUUUUUUAUUUGAGAAGAAAUAAAGAAAAUAAACUGUGCAAGGACAAUAGGAGGUUUUAUAAAUUAACUUAACCAAUUUAGCCUUUCUCGGACAUCGGUAGGUUCUUAAGUACUCCUGCACAAAAAGUAGCAGCAGAAGGAGGAAAAGUAACUAAAAAAAAAAGCAAGGUUUCAGAUUUCAUCUUCAUAACUGCACCAGGACAGGCACAAUGAGAAGAUAAUCACAAAAAGAAGACUGCUCACCUGCCUCCAAAGGUCUAGGCUCACAGAACAACUCCACAAAGGAGGGAUCUGCUGGAAGAGAUCCUUCCUUGGUUGCAAUCAGCUCUUAAAUGGGGGGUCUAAGAGGGGGUAGAGCCUGGCUCCACCCCUUCCCUUCCCACAGGUGAAUUGCCUUCACCUGUGCUCCCAGGCCUGACCUGGUCUCUUUCUUCCAGGUGCUUAAUCAGUGUUCACACCCUACCUCGGCAGUUCCCUUACAGUCAUCAAAUCUUACUGCUUACAGUAUAAGCUAUUUAGACUACUGAGACACACUGGCCUUGAGAGGUCAGACAGAACUGCUUCCCAGAGGGAGGCAGAAUUUCUUGUCCUUCUCAAAAUGUUUCCCCUGAGAUGGGAUCCCACAAACUCCGCUAGCCUAACAAAAGCGCACUAGAAUGAGACAAACAAAUUCUGAGGAAGAAAACUGAGCUCACCUGUCAGUACUGCUGGGGAAGACGGACAGGCUGACAGGCUUUGUUCUUGUUCCGUUUUUAACGGUAGUCUGAUAAAGUAAGAUCAUCAGACAUAAGAGCACAUGCCUGAAGUCAUGGUCUGACUCGCUGAACCCUCGUCUCAAUUAUUUACAGUGAGAUAUGAGGUCAAGUCUGAGGUUUCACUUAGAAAAGCCCCAGGAACAAUUUGCUCAGUUCCCAGACAGGACAAUCAUCUACCUCUUAAGGGAAAUUUAAUUGCUGUAUCCUCAGGAACUAACCGGUUUCUAAGCCAUCUGACUUCUGGAUGAGAGCUUGCAAUGGUAGUACUCCAACUCAGAGUAUUUUACUUAUUCUUAAAAAAAAAAAAAGAAAAGAUUUGGGAAAAUACUCUUUUAUGCAGCCCAAAUCGUUAACACUACAGUACAUUCUGUGCUCGGAGAAGUGUCAUUUUAAUUUACCCCACACAAGACUCACACCAUUAAGAAGGCCCACCUGCAGAAGCAGACAAGAACUUCAGUAGAAUCCAUACAUAUAUAUUCUGAAAUAUUCUUGAGAAUAUUUAUUCUCAAAUCCUGAGUUAGAAAAGAGCAUAAAAUGAAUUCCUUAGGGAUGCCUUUCUGAGAGCAUGAGAGCAAUCCUGGCCCCAGCAGUAGAAACUGAGCUCAGGAGGCUGGAAAUCAGCACACGACAGAGUGAUGGCCUGUCUUGGAACUGAUGCUCUUCAAUGACCUGAAUAGUGGGACUGAGUGCAACCUUUACAUCUUUGCUGAUGGCACCGAGCAGAGUGGGGCGGUCCGUACAGUAGAAGGGAGGGAUACCAUCCAAAGGGAUCUAGACAAACCUCAAAAGUGAGCCUGCAUGAACCUAACGAGGUUCAACACAGUCCAGCAUCGCUUUUGGACCAGGGCCUUCCUAGAUACAAGCACAGACCAGCAGAAAAACCUCACUGAGAUCAGUCCUGUGGAAAAGGAUUUGAGGGUUCUGGAGGACCAGAAGCUCAAUGUGAGCCAACAACAUGCACUUAGAACCCAGAAGGCCAAUGGUAACCUGGGCUGCGUCAAGAGAGGUGCCCAGCCAUCAGGAAGAGGGAGGCGGAUCGUCCCCUCUGCUCUGCCCUCUGCCCUCACAAAGCACCAGCUGGAGUCCUGUGCCCAGGCCUGGGGGCCUUGGCACAAGAAAUAAUAAGGACCUGCUAGAGGGGGUCCAGAGGAAGGCUACAAAGAUGAGCAAAGGGCUGCAGCACCUCUCUUAUCAAGAAAAGCUAAUGGAAUUGGGUUUGUUUAUCUCAGAGAACAAAAGGCCUCAUUGGAGGCUUCUAGCAUUUGAAGGGAGAUUAUAAACAAGAGAGGGACCAGCUUCUCAUGGGGUCUAUGUAGUGCUACAACGUGAAGGAAAGUACAGCAACAAUAGCAGGGUGGCAAAAUCCUAGGCUGCAGCAAACAAGGACAAGCCCAAACACAAGAGCUGCUGCAGAUACAAAACAAAGAAAAGAAACUGCUUACCUUCAGAAAGCCUCUAGGAGAAGAGGAUCUGCAGCAAGAUACCCUCACCUCCACUGCCGACUCUUAAAUGAGGUCUGGGAAGCAGUGGAUCCUGGCUCCACACCUUCCAGUCACUCAGCUGCAUUGCGUGCACCUGAGCUCUCCUGGGUUGGGCCUGCCAUCCUGCCAGGUGCUCAAUCACUGGUUCCAGCCGUGACUUAGCAUUUCUGCUACAGCCUGAUAGUGACAGGAGAAAGCAGAAUAGCUUUAAACUACAAGAGGGGAGAUUUAGGUUAGAUAGUAGGAGGCAGGAAUUUUUUACUUGGGGUGGUGAGGCACUGGCACAGGAUGCCGGGAGAAGCCGUGACGGUCCUGUCUCUGGAAGUGUUCCAGGCCAGGUUGGAUGGGGCUCUGGGCAGCCCGAUGAGUGGGUGGCGACCCUGCCCGUGGCAGAGGUGUUUGAACUAGAUGAUCUUUAAGGUCCUUUACCACCCGAGCCACCCCAUGAUAGAAAUGGAUCAACUGCAAGCUGAGCGCUGUAAGAGAAGAUGGUUGAACAUCAGAAAAUCUCUGUACACCUGUGGUGUUUACUCAGUGAAUUUAUGGCUAACGCAGAGGUCAUGAGAGACUUAUGCCAUAAUAAAUCACAACUCAUAGAAUGGCCUGGGUUGAAAAGGACCACAAUGAUCAUCCAGUUUCAACCCCCCUGCUAUGUGCAGUGUCUCCAACCACCACACCGGGCUGCCCAGAGCCACAGAUCAUGAGUCUGCGUUGAUGCGUAUAGCUGUUGGUGUCCUCAAGGUGGACCUCAGACCAGAAUAUACCUGCAUCAUUAUCCAGUAGUUGUUGAUGGCUCUUGGUGGUCUGCUGCUAUAGCAGUGAAUGGAGAAAAGAAUUAAGCGACCCAACUUACUGAUCUGCAGUGAAAUAGUUAAUUUUUGAGAGUUUUACUACAAAUUUGUCUUGUAGCAAUGUGACUGGGAAUUAAUAAGAUUAUUGUUGAGUGGCUCAGGUUAAUGGCAUUACUUGUUUGGAUUUUAUAAAAUCCCCAUAAUUGAGAAAUGUUUGUUUAAGUCACCAUAAAAAUGUAGAUACUGAUAGUAAAAUUACAGACAGCCAAGUACAGGAUGAAAUGAAGCAAACUGACCGAACCUGUGCUUGGAGAAAAAGGCAAAUGCCAAAUUAAAUACGUUAGGCUAAUGGUUUAAAUGAUCCAAUUUACCAACAAUAAGGGUACUUUAGACCCAGGUCCUGUUUGAUUUUAUGUUAUAUGAGUGCACAGAGGAAAACAUCUGCUUGAAAGGUAGAUGGACUGAGGCCAAAAGGGAUAUGAAGGGAACGAGCAGUUUGGGCCUCUGAAUCUUUCUGUACUCAUUUCACAUAUUCCUCGUGGUUUUUAGUGAAAACUGUGCUGGAUUAAAUUACUGCUUUUGUCCCGCUGAAUUACUAUGGGAACAACAGAAAAGCAUCUAGAGCAACAAGAGGCUUUUAUGAGGCUUUGUUGAACAAAGAAGCUGCGCUGGGACAUCAGGUAACUCCGGAAGGUUUUGGUUUCAGAUGGAGCUGGCUGUGGUAAGCACAGCAAACAGGCUGAACUAACAAUUCCUGAUGCACCAGCAGCAGCAGUGCAAAUCUCUGCACAGACUUUUUGGUGCCUGUGAUGCUGAGGCAAUGUGAGGGCAGUGAAGGGGAUGCUGGAGAAGAUAACCCAGCCUGGAUAAUCUUAGAGUGAUGGUAAAGGUGGCCACUUAUCUGCAGAAGGAGCGGCGGCAUGAGGCAGGCCCUGCUCUCAUUUAUCUUCUCCUCGUGGAUCUUUUCUCUCUCUCUCCCCAUACUACAGACACAACACAGCCUUCCUCUGUUCCAUAAGAUAAAAGAUCUCCUUUCUUGGCAGCUCUCUCCUUACAGUGCAGCCACCGCGGGCUUCCCAGCAACACACUCACUUUCCGGUUCCCCAGCGCCCACAGCACCGUACCCAGGCACAGCCCCUCCUCCUCAUGUCCUACACCCCAGUCCCAGCACCCCACGGCAAGGACCACCUCUGCUUUCUGUUUCCCAUUGCUUGCUUGGCCACAGAGAAAAUAGUUUCACUACAGAAAAUCAAUACAGUUUUCCAGAAAAUCGUGUUAAUAUGAAAAUGGUGUUGGAUUGUUCUUAGCUAUGACUGUCUUGAUCGCCAUUGAUUCAUGGCUAAUAUGUCUGAUAAGCUUUAAUAUUUCUAAUUGGUUUUCGUUAUACUCAGGGAGUAAGAGGCUUUUUCAACCUGCACACUUGUACUGCUACCUCCUGUUUGUGUCUCUGUGUGAAAAGAGAUGAUCCAGAAAAUAUUCCGUGUGUCAAAGUUAUGAUUUAGAAGUAAGUUCCAUCUAAAAGUGUUCACUUUUGUUUGUCCCUUCAUUUUCUUUGAAUAUCAGCUAGUCCAUUAAGCAUAAUACCUACAGGCUUUAAAGAGCGAUUCCUCUUUGUGAAUUUCAUUUAAUAGCUGUUUCAGUCUAUGUUUGUUCAAUGCCUAUAAAUCUUCCCUUCCCACAAGCAGAAUCAAAAGAAAAGGAAGAAUUUUCUUUUUCGAGGCUGGAGAGCUUUGUUUCACAAAUGUACAGUAUGUGGCCGGAAAACUAAUGUCAAACAAGUAUGAACAAAAUUGUUCUAUGGCAUACAUCAAAAGAUUUCAGCAGUUGUUCUGAAGAGCGAAAUAACCGAAUGUGGCUGUCACACAGAAAGAGUUAUGGUACUGUAACUUCCACAAAAGAUGUCAUUUCCAAACAUCCUUGACUCUUCUUGCCAUGUAAAUGUUUUAUACCUCUUCCCUAUUUUCCUUUGGCUAUUACGCUCUCCAUCUGUUGCUGUUUACAUCUAAUACACAAAAAAUGAAUAGGUAUUAUGGGAUGCUUCAGAUUUUAUACAUGCAAAAGAUCGAUUUGGAUCCAAGGUAGGAGAAUACCCCCAUGGAAAGGUUUACGCUGGUGGGCAAAUGCCAGCAGGAGCAGCAUUUCAUCACAUGUUUGCUUCAAAGAAAGAGAAGGGGGAAAAAAAACAGCACGUAUUUAUAGCCUUGGGAAGCUUUAUGUAUUCCUGUAGGGAUGGAGUAAAGAGAAAAAGCAUGAGAAAAAGUAAAGAAGAAAGGGAACUUAAUAGGCAAAAGCACUUCAUACAGACACCUGCAUCAGCUACCAAUGUAUAAAACCAUUCUAAUACUCUCCUUCAUACAAAUGAUUCCAGACAUCAGCAGGGUUAGUCACUCCAGUUACUUGUAUAACGAAGCUCCUGCUGCAUGCACCUUAGAUGAGGAGCUGUAUGAGAUGCAUUCUCCUGAGGACUUCUGACAGAUUUACGACAGAGAGAAGGUUGUGCUUAUUGACUUGAGGGACAAAAAAUACAUAUUUAUGUUGCUGCAUAACCGUUAAUAAAAAUAUGAUCAACUGCAGCUCACGAUUUAUGCCAUGUGGAAGAUUCCAAGGGUGCAGUACUGCAAGAAAAACUGUAGCAACAUCUAAAUUUAGGGAUGUCUCAUAUUUUCUAUCAUAUUGUACAUUCCAGGCUUACAGUAUGGAUGAACUCCCUGAAGUCAGGAUGAUAUUUUCCUUGUUUAGACUAAAUUAAAAAAAUAUUAAGCAAAAUUUAAGGUUAGAGAAGGCACAUUAUUUCUCAUAAUUAAAAAAAAACCACCCCUUUAAUCGAGAAAUGAGAAAUCCUUCAUGAUUUUGAAGAAGGAACAAAAAAAGAGUUUUGUGUCUAGGCUUGCACAUGGGAAGAGAUCAUGUAUACGUUGUCAACGCAUGUGACAAAUGCUCAGUUCACACCUGCCAAACAGUGCUGGGCACUGUUGUGAGUUAAAAUUAUUCUGUGGUGAGCUAAGUGCUCACAGGGUUUGAUUUAUGGGAUGUUCCUGGAACCAAGAGAAGGAAAAGCCCAAGAGGGAGAGCAUCUCCUCUUCCUGUGGGGAGACAGGAAGACAAGCCAGGAGAGUUUGUGGCAGGAAAGGUGUCAAACUUAUAAAACAGGGCCUCGAUCCUCCCUCAGCCAGAAGGAAACAAACCAUAGUAGAGGAGCCAGAGUGAAAGGAAAGAGCUGGUGAUGUGGCAUGAAGCCCCAGAGGGUGCUGAAGGGACAACUGAAGCUACAGAGAACUCACAGACAUAACAGCCUUAUAACACACUAAACAUGUUACCAAACAUUUGCUUUGAGGCCAAAGCAAAAUAACAUCUCUCUCCAAGAACUCUCGCUCUAUAAUGGGAUCUGUUUGAAGUGUUUGUAAAAUAACACUGAAAAUGCUCCGAAGUUUUUCUGCUACCAAAUUGAAGCUUGGGGAUUUAGAGUCACAGCCUAUUAAAAUUCUGUUUAGCAUGCACAUUUUAACACAGAUGCUUCAAUAAAAGGGGUUUCUGUGUAAUUACCUAAUGACUUGCUAUGUCAGUCACGAUAGGUCCCACAUUUGUGCCUCUCUCCUGAGAAUUAAACAGAAAAUAAAUACACAAGUUCUUCCCUGCUGCCUUUCCAAUUUGGGCUGAAAGCACUGAAUAGUUUAUGGAUGUCCCUGAUGCGAUUUGUGUUGCUGAGAAAUCAAAUCCUAUAAGACGUAAAAGUAGGCAAAAAUAUGUGUUUUUUUCUUUUAAUUGAAUGAAAAAUGUUCUUCUAUGAUGGGUGAGAAUAUACUGAACCUUAUUUUCAAUUUUAAUGCAUUCCUCUGUCACUCUACUCCCAAGUAUUUUCAUCCUAAGGGCUAAGAAGGGUUACAGAUCUGCCGAUGUUGGAAUGUCAUGCCUGAAUACGGUUUGAUUGAGCAAUGAGAUAUUUUCCCAAGAUGCAUCCUGGUGUGAACAAGUGUUUCCAAAAAGCUUGCAGCCAUGUGGACGUCUGUUAAGAAGACAGUAAGUUGGUCAUGCAGCACCCAACUGGAGACAGCCCAAAUGAGGAGAUGCAACACCAGGAGUCCAGAACAGCGGUGCUCGAGCCAGCUCAGCCAGGAGGCAUGCUAAAAGCUUUAGGAAGCCACAUAGAGACAGAAUCAGCCAAAAGAGGAGAUUCCUCUGACUUCAGCAUCCCGUGGUACGUGCCAGACACUGGACAGCAAGUCACUUUGGAUGCUGCUUCCACUGCAGUGCUUGGAGAUCCCUAACUGGGACCUGGACCUCCUGCCAAAAGGUCAAGCUCAGCCCUCGGGGCCCCAACUGUACCCCAAACCUAUGGAGCUGCGCUGCCGGCUGGAGAGCUGCGGGCACUGCCAGGACUGCGAGGAACAGCACCCGUGUGGUUUACUGCUGUAUGGCAGCUCCAUCCGUCACACUGUCUGUUACUGCGUACAGCUGCCAGUUGUAACUAAGGCAGUAAGAGGAGGCUGUGUCAGCAUUACCGCUGGGGGUAGCACAGGGGCUUUUUCCUCACAGCAAGAAAAGAUUUCUGCAGGCAAUCACGGUAUUGUCUGAAAAACGUCUAAACAUCAAGAGUUCUGAGUAUAAGAGCAACUGGAUUUAAACACUGUUCCCAAGAGCAACCCUUACAGACUCCCAAAGAAGCAGAUUUACAACAAGGACUGGAGAACAACUCAGUUAUCCAGACUUCCUCUCCCAGCUUCUUCCAUGUACUUUCACACCAGUAACCAGGGGCCCAUUGUCAAAAGAGUUCCCUCUCUCCUCUUCCCACACAAACAAAGCUCGGGUGUCUGGCUGUGCUGCACUGCCCAGUGCCUGCUCCUGCCUCACACUGACAGCAUCCCAAGAUGUCUCUGCUGACAUCUGGACUUAGUUACUAUUGCACUGCAAUAUCAGAACGUGCACGAAUGAGUGACAAAGUAUUUCAAUGAGUACAAAGGUGCAUAAGUGGAAACUUAGAGAAAGAAGAAAGGUAGCAUUCAUGUGACUCUUCAACCAAAAACUAAAUGAAAAGCGUGCCCGCAAAGCCUUAGAAAAAUUGCAGCACAGACCAGAAAAAUAACAUUUUGCUUUGUUUACCAAACAUUUCAGAGUUAUCCAGGUACCAGGACCGCUCCCUUUGCAUAAAAAGCACAUUAGCAGGGAAGCUUGCUGCUACUGUGCUGUUGCAACACACACACUAAUCGGGCUGUCCAUCUUCCCCAGGAGCUGCUGCUUUGAAGGAAACUACACAAAGUGCUUAGGGAAUUUGCCAUUCAGCAGUUCCCUCAAGAUCUGCGUCCAUCUUUCACUGAUUAAUAUUGAAGCAUUAAUCAGAUGUUUCUACGUUUCCAUGCUCCCACCAGCUACACGUGUGCAAGCCAAGAGGUGGAGACAGCAAUUCUUCACUGGGAAUAUUGGUAAAACAAGGCUUGCAUUUAGGGGAUUCAGACUGGUAAAGACAGUUUCUUAAGCUGACAUUUAAGAAUCACUGACUUUCAAAUACCACAUUAGCAAUCAAGAAAUCAACAGUGUUUAGAAGAAAUGUAAUUAGCUCAGCAUGCUCUGCUUGAAACCAGUGCUGUAGCUAUCAGCUGCAACAAAUGCUAAAAUGCAGAAUUUGUUUUUCCAUUGAAGUACAUUACAAUUUACUUUAAUAAAGGCAUGAGAGCUUGAGA